rnacentral:rRNA from 1 species
ACGCGAAAGGGGAGCAAUCCCUGAGUAGAGUGGCAAACGGGUGAGUAACACGUGGGUGACCUGCCUUCGAGUGGGGGAUAACGUCCCGAAAGGGACGCUAAUACCGCAUGACAUCCUGCCUUUGGAGAGGCGGAGAUCAAAGCCGGGGAUCGCAAGACCUGGCGCUUGAAGAGGGGCCCGCGCCUGAUUAGCUAGUUGGUGGGGUAACGGCCUACCAAGGCAACGAUCAGUAGCCGGCCUGAGAGGGCGGACGGCCACACUGGGACUGAGACACGGCCCAGACUCCUACGGGAGGCAGCAGUGGGGAAUUGUUCGCAAUGGGCGCAAGCCUGACGACGCAACGCCGCGUGGAGGACGAAGAUCUUCGGGUCGUAAACUCCUGUCGAGCGGGACGAAUACCUUCCUGGUGAACACCCGGGAAGGCUGACGGUACCGCUAAAGGAAGCCCCGGCUAACUCCGUGCCAGCAGCCGCGGUAAUACGGGGGGGGCAAGCGUUG